UGCUGUUGCCACGGUAACCGCAGGUGUUCAAACUCAACCAGGAAGGAUUACAACUUUAAAGUUACUGUGAGGAACUUUUAACUGGUUAUAAACAAUGAACAAGUAAUAUCUGAUUAACAAGGUAAUCUUCAGUCUGACGAUCUCUGUAGAGUGUAGAGGCGACAAUGAGUUUCUUCUACCUUGUAGGUAAUAGGGCUGGGAUGAUUUACCUAACUCCUGAUUCGAUACUGGGACAAAGGAGUUCCUCAUUCUGUCCAUUGAACAGGACUGAGACAGCAGCCUGCCACUGAAUGUGCUCCUCUGCUGAGUGAGUGUGCUGUGAAGAGGGUGGUGGGUAUUGUCCAUGAUAGAUAGCAGUCUACUCAUGGUCCUCCUCUCCGCCACUGACACCAGGGAAUCCAGUUUCAUGCCCAUCACAGAACCAGCUCUCCUCACCAGCCUGUCCAGCCGUGCAGCGUCCCUCUUCUUAAUGCUGCCUCCACAGCAUAGAAGAGGACGCUCGCUACCAUUGACUGGUAAAACAUCUGCAGGAGUUUCCUGACCAGUCCAGUCUGCUGUCCAGCUGCAGCCCCAGGAAUCCAUUUCAACUGUUUCCUUAUUGACCCAACAUGCUCCGGGACACUCCUCGUACGGAGUCAACUCACGUCUCUCUGACCUGAUAAACAGAGAUAAAGAAGGCGACGCAAAAGAGGGAGGGAAGCCGAGAUGGAGACAAAGAGGUUGCGGGUGAAGGCCGGAGACAAAGAGGACAGCGGUUCAAUGGGGCAAAGACUGCUGCCAUUAUAUUUAAAUGUGGAAGGAGGACCGUGAGGGGGAGAAAGAGAGUUAAAUAGGUGAGGAGAUGACAACAGAUGGGAGGGAGAAGAGAUAAGGAGAAAGACAGAGAUGAG